CCUACGGGAGGCAGCAGUGGGGAAUAUUGGACAAUGGGCGCAAGCCUGAUCCAGCAAUGCCGCGUGAGUGAUGAAGGCCUUAGGGUUGUAAAGCUCUUUUACCCGGGAUGAUAAUGACAGUACCGGGAGAAUAAGCUCCGGCUAACUCCGUGCCAGCAGCCGCGGUAAU
rnacentral:rRNA from 1 species